GGAUCGCAGGCUGCAACCCGCCUGCGUGAAGUCGGAAUCGCUAGUAAUCGCGGAUCAGCAUGCCGCGGUGAAUACGUUCCCGGGCCUUGUACACACCGCCCGUCACACCAUGAGAGUCGGGAACACCCGAAGUCCGUAGCCUAACCGAAAGGAGGGCGCGGCCGAAGGUGGGUUCGAUAAUUGGGGUGAAGUCGUAACAAGGUAGC
rnacentral:rRNA from 1 species